AGCUAAAAAUCACUGUAAGAAAAAGAAAUAUUUCAAGUGUGGAUUGUGGUAUCAUUGUCAUGCUCAUCAUGGAGUGCAUAUUCACCAACAAACCAAUCCCGAAGACUUUUAAAGAGGAAGAUAUUCGUUGGUUUAGAGCGCAUGUUGUUCAUUUGCUUCUCAAUGACAAAUGCCAUGUAUGAGGGUGAUAGUGCCAAGAAGUUGGCUUAGGAAGCAAACAAAGUGUAAAUGUUGUUUUUGAUACUAUGGUUUAAGUAUUAAUGCAAUGAUAUUUUGCUAGGU